CCUACGGGUGGCUGCAGUGGGGAAUAUUGGACAAUGGGGGCAACCCUGAUCCAGCCAUGCCGCGUGUGUGAAGAAGGCCCUCGGGUUGUAAAGCACUUUCAGUGGGGAAGAACGCCUGGUGGUUAAUACCCAUCAGGAAAGACAUCACUCACAGAAGAAGCACCGGCUAACUCCGUGCCAGCAGCCGCGGUAAUACGGAGGGUGCGAGCGUUAAUCGGAAUUACUGGGCGUAAAGCGCGCGUAGGUGGCUUGAUAAGCCGGUUGUGAAAGCCCCGGGCUCAACCUGGGAACGGCAUCCGGAACUGUCAAGCUAGAGUGCAGGAGAGGAAGGUAGAAUUCCCGGUGUAGCGGUGAAAUGCGUAGAGAUCGGGAGGAAUACCAGUGGCGAAGGCGGCCUUCUGGACUGACACUGACACUGAGGUGCGAAAGCGUGGGUAGCAAACAGGAUUAGAUACCCUAGUAGUC
rnacentral:rRNA from 1 species